CGGCGUCGAAGGCGGCGGGCGGGGUGGCCCGAGCGGCGACGGUGCCGGGCGGCCGGGCGACCCGGCCGGCGCCACUCCUCCCCCGACCAGCACUCUUCUCCUCCCCGGCCGACGUCUCUUCUCUCCCGGCGCUGCCCAGGCACGGGGAGGCGGGCGCCGGACGUGGAGUGGAGCGCCGACGCCGGACUUGGAGCGGGGUGGCCGGCGUCGGACGUGGAGCAGGCGGCGGCGCCGGACGUGGAGUGUGGCGCCAUCGCCGGACUUGGAGCGAGGCGGCCGGCGCCGGACAUGGAGCGGGACGAGGAGAUCGGAGGCGAGCGCGCGCGCGGAGCAACGAUGGAGAAGCCACUCGCUCCAAGCGCGGUUGCGGCGCUCUCUCCCUGCCCCAUGCGACCUCGAUAUCACCGGAGAACUUGUGACCUUCUUUGGACGCGAGGACCUCAGUGCACGUGGUCUCACAGCCCCAAGCCGGGCCGAGCUCCUCCGCCACCGACGGGAGAGGCGGCGGGGCUUGGCGCUCGCCGGCGCACCACCCUCCUCUCCCUCCUCCCACCUCCCAUGAAACAACGGCGAGGUCGGCACGCGGAAGCGGGCGGCGGAGGAAUCGGCGGCGGGGGAGCUCGGCGGCGGGGGAGCUCGACGUCGGCCGGCGAGGGCGCCGUCGCUUCACCACCUCUGCGGGCGAGCUCCUCUCGUCGCCGCCGGAUGGGAUGGCGAACUCGGCACGGAUCUGGCUCGGAUUCGGCGCCCCUACUCCUCUUCCUCUCCGGCGAGCUUUUUCACUCACUCACUCUCCUUGCUAUGUGGCAUGUGUUUCUCUCACAAAAUUUGCUGAGGUUCUCAGAGCCAAAACUAGCCAUGCGAACCUGGUGA
rnacentral:lncRNA from 1 species